CGAACGCUGGCGGCAUGCCUAACACAUGCAAGUCGAACGAACCCUUCGGGGUUAGUGGCGCCCGGGUGCGUAACGCGUGGGAAUCUGCCCUUUGCUUCGGAAUAACUCAGGGAAACUUGUGCUAAUACCGGAUGAUGUCUUCGGACCAAAGAUUUAUCGGCAAGGGAUGAGCCCGCGUAGGAUUAGGUAGUUGGUGGGGUAAAGGCCUACCAAGCCGACGAUCCUUAGCUGGUCUGAGAGGAUGAUCAGCCACACUGGGACUGAGACACGGCCCAGACUCCUACGGGAGGCAGCAGUGGGGAAUAUUGGACAAUGGGCGCAAGCCUGAUCCAGCAAUGCCGCGUGAGUGAUGAAGGCCCUCGGGUCGUAAAGCUCUUUUACCAGGGAUGAUAAUGACAGUACCUGGAGAAUAAGCUCCGGCUAACUCCGUG
rnacentral:rRNA from 1 species